GUUUUUCCUACCAGAUACACAGUCAUUUCCAUACAAAAGGUAAUGUCAUCUUUCAAAUAUUAAACUGUUAAUCUUACAGCACCAUGGAAAUUCCUUAGAAAAUGCUUAACACUAUCAUUUGGUUAUAAGGGCAAUUCUGCUGAAUUUUUUUUUUUUUUUGCAGGAAGACAAGCUAUAUGUUCUGUCUUAAAAAGCUGUUUUAGAAAGAGUUGCUGAUGUUUAUUUUGAAGGUAUGGCUGAUAUACAAGUAAAUGUAAAGAAUGAGAUUUAAGUAAGACCAAGUUAAGAAUUGGUGUUUAUCAUUAUGGAUGUAUAUUUCAGUUUGUGUGUGACAAGUCACACUAAUUUUCAAAAUACUUCAUUUAUUACACACCUGCUUUAAGGCAAUUACAGCAUAUAAUAUAAAUUGCACCAUCCCUCAUAAGUUUAAGCAUUGACAAGCAACUUUGUUAUUAACAUGUUCAGCUUUAAUUUUUUCGUUAAUGAUUCCAGACAAAACAUAAUAAUCUUACUGAGGAAAUUCAGGCUUCCAAAAGCUUAACAUAUAAUUAAACAGUUGUUUGUAAACAUUAAAAACAAAAAAGUCAACUCUCAGUCCCACCACCAAAUGUCAAUGACAGAGCAUAGUACAAGUAAAAGUGAAUGAAUUGAAGAUCACAGUUCCCUGUGCUACUGUGUUAGAGAGAAACUUGGGAUUUUGACUCAGCUCUGUUGAAGAAACUCAAUUUGACGAUUACUAGCUAAAAGUGAAAGCUGUGGAAGGUACAGUUAAUUGACAGCAAAAUUAUUGAUCGCAUAUUUGACUUGGAAUAAUUUGUGCCAUAAUACUUUGCUUUCAAGAUCAGUAAAUUUAGGAUAACUUUACCCUGAAAUUUGUUUAGGGUACUAGGGGAAUUCUAACUGUAGCCGUAUGUUUAAUUGGUGGGUUAGAUACGCUAAAGUGUCGGUAUACAUUGGCUAAAGAACACAGGUGCUUAGUAUAGGUGCUUAGUACAGCGUGCUAGACUGCUCAAAGCAGUAACCACUUCACUAAAUGAAAAAAAUCUUGCAGUAGACCAUACGCUUUCAGACUGCUUCUCAUCAACAAAUUUAAUAUUGGAGACUAUGUAAAACAAGUAAUACUGGUCAAAGGCUGUGAUGAGCAUUUCAUUGGCAAAAUUACUGGUAAGUUUUCUCCUUAUUUUACUGUUGAAAUGUGCAUUACCCUGUUACCUUUGGUAUGUAGUAAAAGCCAUGCUCUUGAGUCCUUUCAAGAAAGGAGAGAUGGGCUACUUUUUUGGAAGUGUUUUCAUGUAUUUGCAUAUGAUAGAAAGCAUGGUUUCAUCCGUACCACCUCCUAUUGACAUUAAUCUCAAGUCUCUGUAGAAAUAAAAAGGAGAAAUUAAUAUAUUUGUAUGCUAUAUUGAUGGAACAUAGAUUUUUCUGUGUUUAAUAUGGAGCUGCUUUUGUUACAUUGAAAUUUCUUGUUUACAGAAGCACAUACACUGUAUACAGGUGUUACCAGCACUGUAAAUACCUUUUGUGUAGAGGAACGUUGCUGAUUCAGUAUCAGAAAGCUUAAGGUAUAAUUUGUCAUGUUCAGUUUUCAGAUUCUUUCAAAAAUAACCUUAACUUGUCAUACCACUAAGACUUUUCCCAGUAUAUUAGUGGCCCUGCCCAGCAAGAGCUCCUGCAGCUGAACUCUGAAGUGACUUCUAUUUAGGUCUCAUCACUUUGAAUUGGCACAUAAUGUAUCACUGGUUCUUGCCAUGGUUUUCUGGCACAGUUGCUGGACUGUUUGGUUGCGUUGCCAGUGUAUUACAUACUUAGGCCAGUUGUUUGCAGAAUGUCUCAUCUGCUACACUAUGUCUUGCUGAGUCUGCUGGUCUGUAAUGCGCCUCACAAUAUCCCUCGUGAUCCCUUGGAGCUGGUUUUUAAGAGUGGAGAGAGCGUUUGGAGAGCAAGCAGCAAAAAAUCUUGCAGCACUAAACUGCGCUCAACUGUGUGGUAAAGAGUUGGCCUUUGAUCCAUAAGGCACUGCAAAAUUACAUGUUCUUUGACUGAGGAGCAUCCUGGUCUUUCUAAAAGCUAUAUGAGGUCUGGCAAAACUUUAGUAUAAAUCCUUACCAGUAUUACAUGUCUGCUUCAAAAAGGAAAGGCUGCUCCAACACUAUUUAAUUUUGAUUUGCUAGUUCUAACAGGACUCAUUUAAAAGCCGACAUUUAUAUCACAGAGUCAUCCCUACCAGAAUCGCCCAAGUUCCUUGCGCUAUCCAGAUUACAAACUACUGUGCACCUUAAGCAAUUUUCUUCAUAAACUUCAUCCUCUUUGGAGAGAAACCUCGCCAAACAAAACAGUUCUAAACUACUGCUCUGGUUCAAUAGCUUGAAAAUUCCCUACCUUCCUAUGGGCUUUGUUGAUGGCAAGGGAGCUAGAACAACCGUAUGUUAUUUGUUCUUUGUGCUGUGGUGCUCUUGCUUUUUCGAGCUGUAGAAUUCCCCUGGCAAUGCUUAGCAUCUUGCAUCGUCACGGCACUGUAUCAAUAGUAAAUAAUUAAAUCUCAAAACUCUUCUGGAUUGCAGAUAAAAAUCCUCAAUUUGCAGCAGGAGUCCUGGACACAUGAAGCUUGUUUAUAUGAAGUUAUAAAUAGGCAGUGUUAAGAUCUAGCUUUGGUACUGUGUGACAGGAACAUUGCCUGCAGGAUUGACAAACAGGCAACCAAUACAAAUCUCUUCCCUCUGGAGAAAGGACAGAAUGUUUUACCUAGUUAAAGAGGAUCAAGAUGACAGAAGGCUUGCAUGAUAUUAAUCUAGCAGCCCUCUUUUGGGAAGCAGAAUCACUAUCAACACAAGAAACAAAAACACAGGACUAACUAUCCUGCCAGGAAUUCUAUGAUGAAGCUGGGGAAGAUGACAUAGGAAGGUAAUACUGGAUCCAUCAGUUUUAACUGACAGCACAUGCAGGAACUAUCAUUCUGGAGUGGCCCAAGGAGUCCUUUAGACAUCAGAGAUCAUGAAGAUCUUCAAGUUCAAAGACCCUGAAGUUGCCAAAUGUGGAGUAAUUUUUUUCCUUAUACUUCUAUCCAACUUAUAUUUUCCCAUUUAAACUUUCUACUCACUGUAAAUAUAGUUUGCCUGGCUAUGUCUCCUCUUAAAAUGAAAGGAAAUUAAAACAUUUUUCUCACAAUGUGGCUGAUCACUGUCUAGUGAGAUGCACGAUGGAUUACUAUCCCCACACUGAACAAUCUGUCUUUUAAAGAUGUGGGCUAUACAUGCAAAAUGAUCCGUCAUCCUGUUUACUGGCCAUGACUCAAUGCUACUCAGAAAAAUUAGAAUACAGAAACAGAUAGAAGUAAUUAGAAAAGUGCCAUUCUACUUUCUCAUAUGUAUUAAACUCCCUCUUUGCCCCCAAGUUAAGCAAUUCACAAAAAAAAAAAAAAAAAAAAAAGUUUGCUUUCUCACCAUAGCAACAUCCUUUUCCUGUGAUCAGUGUAACUGGUUCUUAAAGUAACUGCAUUUACUUAGUGUCACAACAUGGGAAGAGAUGUGGCAGUUGCUUUUUUUUUUUUUUUUUUUUUUUUCAAUGAAGCAAGAAACAGCAAUUUUUAACAAUGCUGUGGAUACAUAUCACUCAGUAAAAAAGACCGUAUCU